rnacentral:rRNA from 1 species
GAUGAACGCUGGCGGCGUGCUUAACACAUGCAAGUCGAACGAGAAGUGGAGACGGAAACCUUCGGGCGGAAGACUUUAUUUCGAGUGGCGGACGGGUGAGUAACGCGUGGGUAACCUGCCUCAUCCAGGGGGAUAACAGUUGGAAACGACUGUUAAUACCGCAUAAGACCACAGCACCGCAUGGUGCGGGGGUAAAAACUCCGGUGGUAUGAGAUGGACCCGCGUUCGAUUAGCCAGUUGGCGGGGUAACGGCCCACCAAAGCGACGAUCGAUAGCCGAUCUGAGAGGAUGACCGGCCACAUUGGGACUGAGACACGGCCCAAACUCCUACGGGAGGCAGCAGUGGGGAAUAUUGCACAAUGGGGGAAACCCUGAUGCAGCGACGCCGCGUGAGUGAAGAAGUAUUUCGGUAUGUAAAGCUCUAUCAGCAGGGAAGAAAAUGACGGUACCUGAGGAAGAAGCCCCGGCUAACUACGUG